CCUACGGGAGGCAGCAGUGAGGAAUAUUGGUCAAUGGACGAGAGUCUGAACCAGCCAAGUAGCGUGAAGGAUGACUGCCCUAUGGGUUGUAAACUUCUUUUAUAAAGGAAUAAAACGAGGCACGUGUGCCUUUUUGCAUGUACUUUAUGAAUAAGGAUCGGCUAACUCCGUGCCAGCAGCCGCGGUAAUACGGAGGAUCCGAGCGUUAUCCGGAUUUAUUGGGUUGAAAGGGAGCGUAGAUGGGUUGUUAAGUCAGUUGUGAAAGUUUGCGGCUCAACCGUAAAACUGCAAUUGAUACUGGCCGUCUUGAGUACAGUAGAGGUAGGCGGAAUUCGUGGUGUAGCGGAGAAAUGCUUAGAUAUCACGAAGAACCCCGAUUGCGAAGGCAGCUUACUAAACUGUGACUGACAUUGAUGCUCGAAAGUGUGGGUAGCAAACAGGAUUAGAUACCCUAGUAGUC
rnacentral:rRNA from 1 species